rnacentral:rRNA from 1 species
ACCUCUUGAGAGCGGCGGACGGGUGAGUAAUGCCUAGGAAUCUGCCUGGGAGUGGGGGAUAACGCUCGGAAACGGACGCUAAUACCGCAUACGUCCUACGGGAGACAGCAGGGGACCUUCGGGCCUUGCGCUAUCAGAUGAGCCUAGGUCGGAUUAGCUAGUUGGCGGGGUAAUGGCUCACCAAGUCGACGAUCCGUAUCUGGUCUGAGAGGAUGAUCAGUAACACUGGAACUGAGACACGGUCCAGACUCCUACGGGAGGCAGCAGUGGGGAAUAUUGGACAAUGGGCGA